rfam:Corchorus capsularis cultivar CVL-1 contig08804, whole genome shotgun sequence.
GAAUGGCAAGAAUGAUGAAUCAAUUAGAUGUGUGAAAUUUCCAUUUUGAACUCAACUUUUUACGGCAUUAUAAUUUGUCUGACUUGCCAUUG